GAUCCUGGCUCAGGAUGAACGCUAGCGGCAGGCUUAACACAUGCAAGUCGAGGGGCAGCAUAAUGGAUAGCAAUAUCUAUGGUGGGCGACCGGCGCACGGGUGCGUAACGCGUAUGCAACCGUACCUUUAACAGGGGGAUAACACUGAGAAAUUGGUACUAAUACCCCAUAAUAUCAUAGAAGGCAUCUUUAUGGUUGAAAAUUCCGAUGGUUAGAGAUGGGCAUGCGUUGUA
rnacentral:rRNA from 1 species